rnacentral:rRNA from 1 species
UACGAAGGGGGGCUAGCGUUGCUCGGAAUCACUGGGCGUAAAGGGUGCGUAGGCGGGUUUUUAAGUCAGGGGUGAAAUCCUGGAGCUCAACUCCAGAACUGCCUUUGAUACUGAAGAUCUUGAGUUCGGGAGAGGUGAGUGGAACUGCGAGUGUAGAGGUGAAAUUCGUAGAUAUCUGGAGGAACACCGGUGGCGAAGGCGGCAUCCUGGACCAAUAUUGACGCUGAGGAGCGAAAGCCAGGGGAGCAAACGGG